rnacentral:rRNA from 1 species
AGAGUUUGAUCAUGGCUCAGGAUGAGCGCUGGCGGCGUGCCUAAUACAUGCAAGUCGAGCGAACAGAUAAGGAGCUUGCUCCUUUGACGUUAGCGGCGGACGGGUGAGUAACACGUGGGUAACCUACCUAUAAGACUGGAAUAACUCCGGGAAACCGGGGCUAAUGCCGGAUAACAUGUUGAACCGCAUGGUUCUACAGUGAAAGGCGGCUUUGCUGUCACUUAUAGAUGGACCCGCGCCGUAUUAGCUAGUUGGUGAGGUAAUGGCUCACCAAGGCAACGAUACGUAGCCGACUUGAGAGGGUGAUCGGCCACACUGGAACUGAGACACGGUCCAGACUCCUACGGGAGGCAGCAGUAGGGAAUCUUCCGCAAUGGGCGAAGGCCUGACGGAGCAACGCCGCGUGAGUGAUGAAGGUCUUCGGAUCGUAAAACUCUGUUAUUAGGGAAGAACAAAUGCGUAAGUAACUGUGCGCGUCUUGACGGUACCUAAUCAGAAAGCCACGGCUAACUACGUGCCAGCAGCCGCGGUAAUACGUAGGUGGCAAGCGUUAUCCGGAAUUAUUGGGCGUAAAGCGCGCGUAGGCGGUUUUUUAAGUCUGAUGUGAAAGCCCACGGCUCAACCGUGGAGGGUCAUUGGAAACUGAAAAACUUGAGUGCAGAAGAGGAAAGUGGAAUUCCAUGUGUAGCGGUGAAAUGCGCAGAGAUAUGGAGGAACACCAGUGGCGAAGGCGACUUUCUGGUCUGUAACUGACGCUGAUGUGCGAAAGCGUGGGGAUCAAACAGGAUUAGAUACCCUGGUAGUCC